CCGGCUGAAUUAGUGAUCGGCUGGAAUCAUCAUUCAUUUUUUUGGAGUACACAAGAUGUCACUAAAUGCUGAAACUAAAGCGCAAAUCGUUGCUGAGCAUGCACGCGGCGA
rnacentral:ncRNA from 1 species